UUUUAUUUUUCUUUAGAAUGUUUUCUGGUAAUUUAUGCUUUUAGAUUUCUGUUUUCAAGAAAAUACUGGGGAUUUGUCUGUUGAGAAAGGAAUUUCUUCAAGAUGUUUCAUCUUGACCUGAACUUUCUGCAUUCCUGAGCUAAUCUGUGUCCUGCACUUUAGAUUAAGGCUAAUUUCAGAAGUUCAGUGACAUAAAAUAUUGUUACACCUUAAAAUCUAAUUGGCAUCACCAAUUUUUGAUUCAGUAGUACCAGGCAGUGAAAUUAAGAAUCUAAAAAAUUAAAAUAUUUUCUAAAUAUUUUAAAAUUUCUGUUAUAAAUUAGUGUAUUAGAAUAAAUUUUUUAGCAUAUUCUAUUAUAUCCUCUUUACUGAGCACAUUACUAAGUUGGUAAUUGGAGAAUAUAAGCAAGAUUCAUUUAGUUAUUUUUAAUAAAACAGGUAUUGCUGUCUCUAAGCCAGACCUGAUCACCUCUCUGGAGCAAGGGAAAGAGCCCUGGAAUAUGAAGCGACAUGAGAUGGUGGAUGAACCCUCAGGUAGGUGAGAGUGAAUACAACAGGUGACAUGGAUGAAAGGUCCAAAGUCAAGAAGAAAGCCACUCUUUAAAGUGAUUUAGGAAGCUGUGUUCCAAAGGAAAUAGUUUCUGGGAAGCCUGAAUUUUUUUUUUAAAUUAUACUCUCACAUAGGGCCAUCUUCUGCUUAUACCUAUAAAAUCUAAGAAUUCUACUUUCCCUUCAAUGAUCUUCCUUCAAGUUUACAGUGACAGCCAAAGUACUGUUCAUGGCAUACAAAAGAGUGUACAAUUUGACUUCUUUUUUCUUGUUUUGUGGACAGACAGAUCUAUCUCCAUAAUUUUGAGAUACUCUGUGUUAAACUAUUUUUUAAGUUCUCUUUUUGCAUCAUGUCUGAAAUGUGUGAGAGUAGUAGUUUCUGUUCUAUUGGGUUUUUUCUUUUUGGUUUAUUUUUCUGCACAUUUCAUCCUGUUUUCAUUACUAUAGUCUUGAAAUAUAGUUUGAAAGUAUAAAGUAGGAUGUCCUUCUGCUUUGUUCUUUUUCCUCAAGAUUGCUUUGGCUAUUCAAAGUUUAUUGUAGUUUCAUGUACAUUUUAGGACUGCAUUUUUCAUUACUGUGAAGAAAAACACUGGAAUUUUGAUAAGGAGUUCAUUGAAUCUACAGGUCACUUUGGAUAAAAUGGCAGUUUCAUAAUGCUUAUUCUUUCAAUAGAAAUAAAACAUUUUAAAAUUUA
rnacentral:sRNA from 1 species